CCUACGGGAGGCAGCAGUGGGGAAUAUUGCGCAAUGGGCGAAAGCCUGACGCAGCGACGCCGCGUGAGGGAUGAAGGUCUUCGGAUCGUAAACCUCUGUCAGCAGGGAAGAACGGUCACUGUGCUAAUCAGCAGUGAAUUGACGGUACCUGCAAAGGAAGCACCGGCUAACUCCGGGCCAGCAGCCGCGGUAAUACGGAGGGUGCGAGCGUUAAUCGGAAUUACUGGGCGUAAAGCGCUCGUAGGCGGUAUGUCAAGUCAAGGGGGAAAUCCCCGCGCUCAACGUGGGAACUGCCUUUGAAACUGGCAAACUGGAGUGUGUGAGAGGAUAGUGGAAUUCCAGGGGUAGGAGUGAAAUCCGUAGAUAUCUGGAGGAACAUCAGUGGCGAAGGCGACUAUCUGGCACAUAACUGACGCUGAGGAGCGAAAGCGUGGGUAGCAAACAGGAUUAGAUACCCCAGUAGUC
rnacentral:rRNA from 1 species